rnacentral:rRNA from 1 species
UACGUAGGGGGCAAGCGUUGUCCGGAAUCAUUGGGCGUAAAGCGCUCGUAGGCGGCCCGGUAAGUCCGCUGUAAAAGUCCAGGGCUCAACCCUGGAAAGCCGGUGGAUACUUUCGGGCUAGAGUCCGGAAGAGGCGAGUGGAAUUCCUGGUGUAGCGGUGGAAUGCGCAGAUAUCAGGAGGAACACCGAUGGCGAAGGCAGCUCGCUGGGACGGUACUGACGCUGAGGCGCGAAAGCCAGGGGAGCAAACGGG